GUCCACGCCGUAAACGAUGGGCACUAGGUGUGGGAGGUGUCGACUCCUCCCGUGCCGGCGCUAACGCAUUAAGUGCCCCGCCUGGGGAGUACGGCCGCAAGGCUAAAACUCAAAGGAAUUGACGGGGGCCCGCACAAGCAGCGGAGCAUGUGGUUUAAUUCGAUGCAACGCGAAGAACCUUACCUGGGCUUGACAUGUAACUGACAGUCGUGGAAACACGAUCUUCCUUCUGGACAGUUACACAGGUGGUGCAUGGCUGUCGU
rnacentral:rRNA from 1 species